rnacentral:rRNA from 1 species
UGCCUACGGGGCGCAGCAGUGGGGAAUACUGCACAAUAGGGGAAACCCUGAUGCAGCAACGCCGCGUGAGUGAAGGAGUAUUUCGGUAUGUAAAGCUCUAUCAGCAGGGAAGAAGAUGACGGUACCUGAAUAAGAAGCCCCGGCUAACUACGUGCCAGCAGCCGCGGUAAUACGUAGGGGGCAAGCGUUAUCCGGAUUUAUUGGGUUUAAAGGGUGCGUAGGCGGAUCGUUAAGUCAGUGGUCAAAUUGAGGGGCUCAACCCCUUCCCGCCAUUGAAACUGGCGCUCUUGAGUGGAAGAGAAGUA